rnacentral:rRNA from 1 species
CCUACGGGUGGCAGCAGUGAGGAAUAUUGGUCAAUGGGCGCGAGCCUGAACCAGCCAAGUCGCGUGAGGGAAGACGGUCCUAUGGAUUGUAAACCUCUUUUGUCGGGGAGCAAAAGACGCCACGCGUGGCGUUCCGAGAGUACCCGAAGAAAAAGCAUCGGCUAACUCCGUGCCAGCAGCCGCGGUAAUACGUAGGGGGCAAGCGUGAUCCGGAUUUACUGGGUGGAAGGGGAGCGUAGACGGCGCGGCAAGUCUGAAGUGAAAGGCAGGGGCUUAACCCCUGAACUGAUUGGGAAACUGCCAUGCUAGAGUGCUUGAGAGGAAAGUGGAAUUCCGAGUGUACGGGUGAAAGGCGUA